UGGAACGUUUUACAUUCCUGCCUCUCUGUCAGCUGUUCUGUCUUGCAUUUUCAAACACAUGGGGGAUGAUUUUCCCUUCAAUUGCUCCUGUUCUCAACCCUGAGUCAUGGGCUCACUCCAAGUGUGAUUAAGGACAUCCCUGAUUUGUAGCACUGGCAGCAAGACAUGCUUGGUGAAGACCUGAAAGAAAAAAGAGCCUGGCUGUAGAAUCGGACCCUUAAAACCAAUUAACUUCUUUGAAGGGACUUACUGAGAAGAAAGUUAAUAAAAACUGCAUGGAAAAACUGGCAUCACAGCUAUUUUUUUCUCAUUUGAAAUUCCUACAGGAAAAAAAAAAGUAUCAAGAAACAGAAACAUUCUGUGGCCACUAAAACCCAAAGGAGUGAUUCCAUCAGUGCCGCCAUUGCAGCACAGUGGAGAUUUCAGGAGGGUGUCCUUCCAUACAAGUUGCUGUACUGGAAUAGAUCCUCUGGCUGUGUUUCCUGUCAUCAGGAGUUGCACCAGCUAGCCGUCUGUAAGGAGGUGGUUAGAGCCUAACUGAGGAUAACUGACUUUAGUGCUUCUCUGAAAUGUCUGCUCAAUGGAGAUGGGUCAAGGCAAGUAACAGCAGCUGUAUAUGAACAGCAGAGAUAACCUGACUUCCACAGGAGGGGAGGAAGGUUUCAACCACACAGGAGGGUUUCUGGAGAAGAGGGAUCCAGCCAGCCUGUUCUACCAAUUAUAUCCCUGAGUAUAGCUCCGGUUGUCAGCAGUGCUUCAUCCUCCCUUUGAGAUGCAGAGAUUGGGUCUGUCUUACGUGAUUCAGUGGGCAGUGAAACACAAAUACAUCUGCCUUUGGCUUGCGUGACUUGACAAAGCAGAAUUGCCUCUAGUGAAGCUGUGUGGGUUUCUAGCAGCUGAAGAACUGGCCCAAUAGGACAUGAAGAGCUUCCUACUGCAGAUGAAGCAAUUCACCACCCACUUCUAUUAUUAGCAGUUGAAAGCUUUUUGAAUCAGGAAGAAUGGCAAAAUUGACUUCCUUUUCUUUGGGCUCUGAAGUAAAAAAUGGGCUGUUGUCAUGAGCUGUGUUGAAAAAUACCUCCUGAUUUUGAGAGAAUACAGAGCUGUUGACUUGUAUUAAUUAUUUAGCAGCAUAUUAAGCAGUCAUUAGUGAGGAUGGGGAUAUGUGGAAUGUUAAUACUAGUUCAGCUGAGAGAUGAAUUAUGGGGAAUUACAUGUAUCUAUGAAAAUGAUGUUACAGCUUUGGAGUGUCCUGAACAGCAAUAUGACAGGAAUUGGGACAGAGAGCCUGAGAAUCUGAAUUCAAUUUGUGACUCUCAGUGACACCCUGUGUGACCUCAGGGAUCUUACAUAAGCUUUGUGUGCCCUGUUUCCCCUUUGUGAAAGGAAAAGAAAAGGAAAACUUUCUGUUUCUCAUGUUUGCCUGCUUGGAGUUGGGGCCAUUUGUUCUUUCUGUACUGUGCCAAAAAGAAUGGGGUCUGAGUCUCUUUGUGAGAAAGCCAGGGCUUUAGCAUAGAAGUCAUUUUAAAGAAGAACAAAUUCUGUCAUAUCUGGAAUGUAGAAUCCCAAAACAAAAUUAGAACAAGGCAACCCUGGGCUUGUACACACAAUGCUGUUGUUUUAAUUACUACUUCAAUCAUUCCUUAUUUUUAAAACGAAAUACAAUGAUGUUUGCAAAAUAAAUGACUACAGAUUUCAUUGUCACCAGUAAAGUGCUAAAAGAAGAAAGGAAAUCAUAGAAAGACCUUCUCCAGUGGGAGAUCUCUUGGAGAGGGAGCUGCAGAAUUGGGUCCAGCAUUUAUCCAGUUUAAAACACAAACGCUUUAAGUUCUCACGGUUGAAGGGACCAAGUGCUGCCUUGCUCUGAAAGCACAAGGGUGCAGUUCUUCUCCUUCUAUGCUUCCAUGAAGUGUUGGAAGUUCUCUCUCAUGAUUUUGUGUCCCACAGGCCCCACCUCCCUGCUGAGCUCGGGAGUCAUAGUUCCACACCAUUUGAAACUGCAUUGCCUAUGAUCCAGCGAGUUGUAUGUGUUCCCUUGAGGCCUGGGUGUUUAAGAAACGUGUCUUCUUUCUCUUCAGAGAUGCAAAAUAGCUGAAUAGGGUGACCUAAGACAGUAUAUCAUGAGAUUCCCUUGGAUUCACAAUCAGCCGUCUGCCCUGGAUACAGAUGGUGAGGGAUGAGAGUAAAUCCCUGAGGGCAAAGUCCCAUAUGCCCGUGUGUGUUUGCCAGUUGUACAGAGGGUCACCCGCUGCAGCACCUCUUUAAAAACUUAUCAUUAAGCCCGUCUCCUUUGUGAACUUUCUCAUUAUCAUUUCAUUGUGCUGUGCAGUCCUGGCCUGGCGCAAUGAAUAUUGACUUCAUGCUUGCUUUUCUAAUUGAAUUACAGGGGAGCAGGCUGAGCCACUGAAGUUUCCUGCCUGCAGUCCUGCUUCCCUGGCAGCCAGCUGAAUAGAGGCUGAAAGAAAAGCUGUUUGCUUGGGCAUUAUGGAUAACAGAGACUUGUCACAAAGCUGCUACAAUGAUUUAUUAAAAGACAGAAGAAAA